UGCCCUAGUAACGGCGAGCGAAGCGGCAAAAGUCCAAAUUUGAAAUCUGGCGUCCUACGGGCGUCCGAGUUGUAAUUUGAAGAUGGUAACUUUGGGUUUGGCUCUUGCAUAAGUUCCUUGGAACAGGACGUCAUAGAGGGUGAGAAUCCCGUUCAUGGUAAGAUGCCCAUUCCUUUGUAAAGUGCCUUCGAAGAGUCGAGUUGUUUGGGAAUGCAGCUCUAAGUGGGUGGUAAAUUCCAUCUAAGACUAAAUAUUGGCGAGAGACCGAUAGCGAACAAGUACAGUGAUGGAAAGAUGAAAAGAACUUUGAAAAGAGAGUGAAAAAGUACGUGAAAUUGUUGAAAGGGAAGGGCUUGAAGUCAGACUUGGUAUUCAGUGAUCAACUGUCUUUCGGGACUGUGCACUCGCUGUUUACUGGGCCAACAUCGGUUUUGGCGGCGAGAUAAAUGCAUUGGAACGUGGCUCUAUCUUCGGAUGGAGUGUUAUAGCCUUUGUAAAUAUCGCCUGCUGGGACCGAGGACUGCGCAUCUGCUAGGAUGUUGGCGUAAUGACUUUAAGCCACCCGUCUUGAAACACGGACCAAGGAGUCUAACGUCUAUGCGAGUGUUUGGGUGUAAAACCCGUACGCGUAAUGAAAGUGAACGUAGAUGAGAACCCCUGAGGGUGCAUCAUCGACCGAUCCUGAUGUUCUCGGAUGGAUUUGAGUAAGAGCAUAGCUGUUGGGACCCGAAAGAUGGUGAACUAUGCCUGAAUAGGGUGAAGCCAGAGGAAACUCUGGUGGAGGCUCGUAGCGAUUCUGACGUGCAAAUCGAUCGUCAAAUUUGGGUAUAGGGGCGAAAGAC
rnacentral:rRNA from 1 species